ensembl:rRNA 5S_rRNA 5S ribosomal RNA
GUCUACGGCCAUGCCACUCUGAACAAAGCCCAAUCCCAUCUGAUCUCAGAAGCUAAGCAGGGUUGGGUCUGGUUAGUACUUGGAUGAGAAACCACCUAAGAAGACUAGGUGCUGUAGGUG